AGAGUUUGAUCAUGGCUCAGAAUCAACGCUGGCGGCGUGCCUAACACAUGCAAGUCGAACGAGAAAGGGUAGCAAUACCUGAGUAAAGUGGCGCACGGGUGAGUAACACGUGACUAACCUACCCUGGAGUGGGGGAUAACUGAGGGAAACCUUAGCUAAUACCGCAUAACACCUACGGGUCAAAGGAGCAAUUCGCUUUGGGAGGGGGCCGCGGCCGAUUAUUUAGUUGGCGGGGUAAUGGCCCACCAAGACGAUGAUCGGUAUCCGGCCUGAGAGGGCGCACGGACACACUGGAACUGAAACACGGUCCAGACUCCUACGGGAGGCAGCAGUGGGGAAUUUUGCGCAAUGGGGGAAACCCUGACGCAGCAACGCCGCGUGGAGGAUGAAGUACUUCGGUACGUAAACUCCUUUCGAUCGGGACGAUUAUGACGGUACCGAGAGAAGAAGCCCCGGCUAACUUCGUGCCAGCAGCCGCGGUAAUACGAGGGGGGCGAGCGUUGUUCGGAAUUAUUGGGCGUAAAGGGUGCGUAGGCGGUUUGGUAAGUCUGAUGUGAAAUCUAUGGGCUCAACUCAUAGUCUGCAUCGGAAACUGCCGGGCUUGAGUGUGGGAGAGGUGAGUGGAAUUUCCGGUGUAGCGGUGAAAUGCGUAGAUAUCGGAAGGAACACCUGUGGCGAAAGCGGCUCACUGGACCACAACUGACGCUGAUGCACGAAAGCUAGGGGGAGCAAACAGGAUUAGAUACCCCUGGUAGUCCUAGCCCCUAAACCGAUGACUGGUUGGGUGUGACGGGGUACCCCAAUCCCCGCCGUGGCCGUAGCUUAA
rnacentral:rRNA from 1 species